GAUGAACGCUGGCGGCGUGCUUAACACAUGCAAGUCGAACGGUGAACACGGAGCUUGCUCUGUGGGAUCAGUGGCGAACGGGUGAGUAACACGUGAGCAACCUGCCCCUGACUCUGGGAUAAGCGCUGGAAACGGCGUCUAAUACUGGAUAUGUGACGUGACCGCAUGGCCUGCGUUUGGAAAGAUUUUUCGGUUGGGGAUGGGCUCGCGGCCUAUCAGCUUGUUGGUGAGGUAAUGGCUCACCAAGGCGUCGACGGGUAGCCGGCCUGAGAGGGUGACCGGCCACACUGGGACUGAGACACGGCCCAGACUCCUACGGGAGGCAGCAGUGGGGAAUAUUGCACAAUGGGCGCAAGCCUGAUGCAGCAACGCCGCGUGAGGGAUGACGGCCUUCGGGUUGUAAACCUCUUUUAGCAGGGAAGAAGCGAAAGUGACGGUACCUGCAGAAAAAGCGCCGGCUAACUACGUG
rnacentral:rRNA from 1 species